rnacentral:rRNA from 1 species
CGUAUCACCCAAGACAACUUUACGGAGUUGACGAUUGACGGAGCGAAGCGACGUCAAAGCGUUCAUUAAAGUCGAGUUGGCUUAGGGAUACGUUCGUUGGGUAGGGGAGCGUUCUGUAAGCCUGUGAAGGUGUGUCGUGAGGCAUGCUGGAGGUAUCAGAAGUGCGAAUGCUGACAUAAGUAACGAUAAAGCGGGUGAAAAGCCCGCUCGCCGGAAGACCAAGGGUUCCUGUCCAACGUUAAUCGGGGCAGGGUGAGUCGACCCCUAAGGCGAGGCCGAAAGGCGUAGUCGAUGGGAAACGGGUUAAUAUUCCCGUACUUGGUGUUACUGCGAAGGGGGGACGGAGAAGGCUAUGUUGGCCGGGCGACGGUUGUCCCGGUUUAAGCGUGUAGGUGUGUGUUCCAGGUAAAUCCGGUUCACUUUAACACUGAGGCGUGACGACGAGGCACUACGGUGCUGAAGCAACAAAUGCCCUGCUUCCAGGAAAAGCCUCUAAGCAUCAGGUAACAUCAAAUCGUACCCCAAACCGACACAGGUGGUCAGGUAGAGAAUACCAAGGCGCUUGAGAGAACUCGGGUGAAGGAACUAGGCAAAAUGGUGCCGUAACUUCGGGAGAAGGCACGCUGACACGUAGGUGAAGUGAUUUACUCAUGGAGCUGAAGUCAGUCGAAGAUACCAGCUGGCUGCAACUGUUUAUUAAAAACACAGCACUGUGCAAACACGAAAGUGGACGUAUACGGUGUGACGCCUGCCCGGUGCCGGAAGGUUAAUUGAUGGGGUCAGCGCAAGCGAAGCUCCUGAUCGAAGCCCCGGUAAACGGCGGCCGUAACUAUAACGGUCCUAAGGUAGCGAAAUUCCUUGUCGGGUAAGUUCCGACCUGCACGAAUGGCGUAAUGAUGGCCAGGCUGUCUCCACCCGAGACUCAGUGAAAUUGAACUCGCUGUGAAGAUGCAGUGUACCCGCGGCAAGACGGAAAGACCCCGUGAACCUUUACUAUAGCUUGACACUGAACAUUGAGCCUUGAUGUGUAGGAUAGGUGGGAGGCUUUGAAGUGUGGACGCCAGUCUGCAUGGAGCCGACCUUGAAAUACCACCCUUUAAUGUUUGAUGUUCUAACGUGGACCCGUAAUCCGGGUUGCGGACAGUGUCUGGUGGGUAGUUUGACUGGGGCGGUCUCCUCCUAAAGAGUAACGGAGGAGCACGAAGGUUGGCUAAUCCUGGUCGGACAUCAGGAGGUUAGUGCAAUGGCAUAAGCCAGCUUGACUGCGAGCGUGACGGCGCGAGCAGGUGCGAAAGCAGGUCAUAGUGAUCCGGUGGUUCUGAAUGGAAGGGCCAUCGCUCAACGGAUAAAAGGUACUCCGGGGAUAACAGGCUGAUACCGCCCAAGAGUUCAUAUCGACGGCGGUGUUUGGCACCUCGAUGUCGGCUCAUCACAUCCUGGGGCUGAAGUAGGUCCCAAGGGUAUGGCUGUUCGCCAUUUAAAGUGGUACGCGAGCUGGGUUUAGAACGUCGUGAGACAGUUCGGUCCCUAUCUGCCGUGGGCGCUGGAGAACUGAGGGGGGCUGCUCCUAGUACGAGAGGACCGGAGUGGACGCAUCACUGGUGUUCGGGUUGUCAUGCCAAUGGCACUGCCCGGUAGCUAAAUGCGGAAGAGAUAAGUGCUGAAAGCAUCUAAGCACGAAACUUGCCCCGAGAUGAGUUCUCCCUGAGACUUAG